UACGUAGGGGGCAAGCGUUGUCCGGAAUUACUGGGCGUAAAGGGCGCGUAGGCGGCCUUCUAAGUCAGACGUGAAAUCCCCAGGCUUAACUUGGGAACUGCGUCUGAUACUGGGAGGCUUGAGUGCGGGAGAGGGAUGUGGAAUUCCAGGUGUAGCGGUGAAAUGCGUAGAUAUCUGGAGGAACACCGGUGGCGAAGGCGGCAUCCUGGACCGACACUGACGCUGAGGCGCGAAAGCCAGGGGAGCAAACGGG
rnacentral:rRNA from 1 species